CCGCGGAGUCGACGGGGGAGCCUGCCUGCCGCGUGUGGACCGAGGUAAGUUCGAACUAAGGUACUUCGAACUUCAGCUACGUUAUUCACGUAGCUGAAGUUGCGUACCUUAGUUCGAAUUAGGGGGUUAGUGUAGACCUGGCCUGAGUCUUACUUGAUUAGGAGCAGAAGAGGAAGUGUGUUAGGUUUUCCAUUUCAUAGCUGAACCAACAGCAAUGUGUCCCCUCCCCUCGCUAGCCAAGGCAUACCCUUGACUUUCCGCAAAUAUACUAACAGAAUAGGGGAAGCAGCAGCAAUGUCAGGCACUCAGGUAACAACUGUACCAGUGCCAGUUUUACUAUGUGUGUGUCACAUGAAAUAGGGAGAGCUGAUUUCAUAAAAGAGUCAUUGAAGUGCAUUUGCUAAGCUACUUGCCUGUGUUUUGUCUGCUUGUUAAUUUCAAUACAGAAUGCUUUUCUUGGCCCUGUCUUCUUUCUUUCCCUCUUCCAGUGAUCAAGCAGCUUCAAAAGAAUUUUAUCUGAUAAUACAUCAGCAGGUAUUGGAAAUGUAUUCUUCUGUUGCUCUGGAAACAAGAACUAAAGCAAGAUAACUUUGAAUGGUUUGACAUAAAAGGUCCAUACUUCAAGGGUUUUGCUUAUACGUAGAUAGAGCUUGAAUUAAUAUAUUAAUGUGUUUUCAGGCAAAUCUGUUAGAUAAAAACAUUUUUAAAAAUCAAGGAAGGAAACUAGUCACUGGGUAGGUCAAAUCAAGUAGAGUUUGCCACACUGCUGCUUUGUACAACAGAAAGGAAAUAUGCAUUUUAGUUAGCUAGGACGUGUGUGAUUAUUAGGUACUGCACAGAGAUUGAGUUUGUCUGUGUAGCAACAGCUUUUCCAACCAAUCAGCACAGACAAGUUAAAGUUGGAAGCGUUUGUCUCACUUCCUUUUCCCCUUAUAAUCUGCCUAUUUUUGUCCCCUCCUCCACUUCAACCUCAAGGAAAUUAAUUAUGGUUAGAGUGUGUUUUAUGCUAUAGAAUUUAAGCAUCAUAUAGAAAGAGCAGUCAACAAUUCAAGCCAAACUUGUUUAGUCUUUCAGUUGUGGCCCAUGAUGUUUGCAAGGUGUAAGAUUGUGUGUGACUUACCCCUCCUGCCCUAAAUUCCUAUGCCCUGGAAGCUGCAGGAGUCAGCAAAACCAGACGCCAUAGCACUGGGAUCAUGGAGCCCGCUCAGAUCACCGCGGCAAUUAUGAGCACUAUGAACACCACGCGCAUUGUCCUGGAGUAUUUGCAGAGCCAGGACAUGCCAAAGCAAAACCAGGACCAGCCGAGGAGGCGAUUGCAGCGCGGCAACGAGAGUGAUGAGGAAAUUGAUAUGGACAUAGACCUCUCACAAAGUACAGGCCCCAGCAGUGUGCAAAUCAUGGUGUUACUGGGGCAGGUUCAUGCCAUGGAACGCCGAUUCUGGGCCCGGGAAACAAGCACAGACUGGUGGGACCGCAUAGUGCUGCAGGUGUGGGACGAUUUCCAGUGGCUGCAAAACUUUUGCAUGCAUAAGGGCACUUUCAUGGAACUUUGUGACUUGCUUUCCCCUGCCCUGAAGCGCCAGAAUACCAGGAUGAGAGCAGCCCUCAAAGUUGAGAAGCGAGUGGCGAUAGCCCUGUGGAAGCUUGCAACGCCAGACAGCUACCGGUCAGUCGGGAAUCAAUUUGAGUAUAGUGUGCUGCUCCUGAUUUGUUUGUGAGAAGUGAACAUUCCCCUUCUCUAAAGAGCAUGUUAACUGAAGGUUAUGAGCAAUGUUUCUGGUGUUUAAUUUUCAUUAAUGUUCUAUUCAAAUAUGCUGUAGUAAGUCCUUUUGUUAAUUUCACUCAGUAAUAUGGGAUGUUGUAUCACUCUUUCAAAAUUUCAAUAGAAUGAGUAGCCUUUUUUUAAAUGAGCAAAUGGAAUUAAUCUUUCGUUGCUAUCAUCGUGGUAAAGGACAGGCAAGUAGAUUUUUUUACCUGGGCUGGCAUGUGACAUUUUUGCAAGGUUGCAUUUAUAGACACAUUAUUUCAAGCAAGGAAAUAGGCUGGCUUGCAUUAGUGACCUGUAAUUUAGCAUGAUUGUUGUUGAGAAUACCAUCUCACAUUUCCUUCAUGCCAUAGAGUUCUCAAUAAUCAGCAAGGCCGCUAGGUGAAGAUGAAAAGAUAUAACCACAUGUGAUAUUACUAAUAUGCAUGAAGCCACACAGUACUAAUGAAAAGGAAAACAGCCAUUUUAUAUCCACAAUGAACAUUACAUCCACAGAUGUUAUAAGCCAGACAAAAUGCUAUUAGUCCAAAUGAACAAUAAUGUGAACUGUGUAUCAGAGGCUGCAACAUAACAUAAUAUGCCAGGUUUUACUGUGUUACUUUAAGCGAGGUGCACUCUAAGCAAUUAUUAAUCUAGCAUCCAGACUUUACAUCAUGGGGUCUGUAAUAUUUUACUGGCAUUUGACUGAUGGGCUCAUCAAUGAUUGAAGAUUAGAUCUUUCAGUGUUUACAAACUGAAGUAGCUAACUCCACCGUGCAGAAAAGGUCACUGUCCAUCAUAUCUCCUGCUCUGGCUGCAGUGUGUCUGUUUUUUUGUUGUUUUUUUCAAAGGAAAACCAGUUCUGCCAAGUGACUCUUAAAGCAAGGUUGUUUUUAGCAUUUUAUUGUUUUGAUUAUUGCAGGUAACUGAUGUUAGAUUUUAAAAACUAGCACUAAAACCUCACCUGAGUUGUCUAGA